ACUCCUACGGGAGGCAGCAGUGGGGAAUAUUGGACAAUGGGGGCAACCCUGAUCCAGCCAUGCCGCGUGUGUGAAGAAGGCUUUCGGGUUGUAAAGCACUUUCAGUGAGGAGGAAAACCUGCCGGUUAAUAACCGUCAGGCUUGACGUCACUCACAGAAGAAGCACCGGCUAACUCCGUGCCAGCAGCCGCGGUAAUACGGAGGGUGCGAGCGUUAAUCGGAAUUACUGGGCGUAAAGCGCGCGUAGGUGGUUAGGUAAGCGAGAUGUGAAAGCCCCGGGCUCAACCUGGGAAUGGCAUUUCGAACUGCUUGGCUAGAGUGUGGUAGAGGGUAGUGGAAUUUCCUGUGUAGCGGUGAAAUGCGUAGAUAUAGGAAGGAACACCAGUGGCGAAGGCGGCUACCUGGACCAACACUGACACUGAGGUGCGAAAGCGUGGUUAGCAAACAGGAUUAGAUACCCUGGUAGUCCACGCCGUAAACGAUGUCAACUAGCCGUUGGGGAUCUUGAAUCCUUAGUGGCGCAGCUAACGCACUAAGUUGACCGCCUGGGGAGUACGGCCGCAAGGUUAAAACUCAAAUGAAUUGACGGGGGCCCGCACAAGCGGUGGAGCAUGUGGUUUAAUUCGACGCAACGCGAAGAACCUUACCUGGCCUUGACAUGCAGAGAACUUUCCAGAGAUGGAUUGGUGCCUUCGGGAACUCUGACACAGGUGCUGCAUGGCCGUCGUCAGCUCGUGUCGUGAGAUGUUGGGUUAAGUCCCGUAACGAGCGCAACCCCUUUCCCUAGUUGCUAGCAGGUCAUGCUGAGAACUCUAGGGAGACUGCCGGUGACAAACCGGAGGAAGGUGGGGAUGACGUCAGGUCAUCAUGGCCCUUACGGCCAGGGCUACACACGUGCUACAAUGGUACGUACAGCGAGUUGCGAACCCGCGAGGGGUAGCUAAUCUUCCAAAACGUAUCGUAGUCCGGAUCGGAGUCUGCAACUCGACUCCGUGAAGUCGGAAUCGCUAGUAAUCGUGAAUCAGAAUGUCACGGUGAAUACGUUCCCGGGCCUUGUACACACCGCCCGUCACACCAUGGAAGUAGAUUGCACCAGAAGUAGUUAGUCUAACCUUCGGGAGGACGAUUACCACGGUGUGAUUUAUGACUGGGGUGAAGUCGUAACAAGGUAGCCCUAGGGGAACCUGGGGCUGGAUCACCUCCUUAA
rnacentral:rRNA from 1 species